rnacentral:rRNA from 1 species
UACGGAAGGCAGCAGUGGGGAAUAUUGCACAAUGGGCGCAAGCCUGAUGCAGCCAUGCCGCGUGUAUGAAGAAGGCCUUCGGGUUGUAAAGUACUUUCAGCGGGGAGGAAGGCGAUGCGGUUAAUAACCGCGUCGAUUGACGUUACCCGCAGAAGAAGCACCGGCUAACUCCGUGCCAGCAGCCGCGGUAAUACGGAGGGUGCAAGCGUUAAUCGGAAUUACUGGGCGUAAAGCGCACGCAGGCGGUCUGUUAAGUCAGAUGUGAAAUCCCCGGGCUUAACCUGGGAACUGCAUUUUGAAACUGGCAGGCUUGAGUCUUGUAGAGGGGGUAGAAUUCCAGGUGUAGCGGUGAAAUGCGUAGAGAUCUGGAGGAAUACCGGUGGCGAAGGCGGCCCCUGGGCAAAGCUGACGCUCAGGUGCGAAAGCGUGGGGAGCAAACAGGAUUAGGAUACC